UACGUAGGGGCGAGCGUUGUCCGGAUUUAUUGGGCGUAAAGAGCUCGUAGGCGGCUCGUCGCGUCGACCGUGAAAACCCGCGGCUUAACUGCGGGCUUGCGGUUGAUACGGGCGGGCUAGAGUUCGGUAGGGGAGACUGGAAUUCCUGGUGUAGCGGUGAAAUGCGCAGAUAUCAGGAGGAACACCGGUGGCGAAGGCGGGUCUCUGGGCCGAUACUGACGCUGAGGAGCGAAAGCGUGGGGAGCGAACAGG
rnacentral:rRNA from 1 species